ensembl:lncRNA
GUUUUUUUUCCCUCCUUCUGCUACUUGGAUUUUUUUAGCUGCUGCGUCAUGAGCAUAAUUUAUGCAAAGAGCUUUGCCGCAUGCUGCACCGCGCGCGCCAGCCGCCGGGGGCGGCGGGCUGGGCGGGCCGGCAGGGAAGGGAGGGGAUCUAGGGAACCGAGAACUAGCGAUGGUGGGGGCACCCCAGCCCCUUGCCACCCCCGCUCUCAGAGGCCCCACAGACUAGUUCCCCGGACUGGAGUGGAAAGUCGAUGGGGUGGGUCACGCAGCCCCGCUCCGAGAAGCAUCCUGAGGUCGUUUCAUUUUGGAAGGUAAUUCAAAUGAAAACCAGAUAAGAAGUUCAGUUUUUAUGAGCAGGUGGAUUCUUUACCACUAGCACCAGCUGGGAGCCCCGUAUUCAGAAGUACGUUUCCCUAAAUCUGACAUAUUCAGUCUGGAAGAGUGGUCAUGUAUGGAUGUGAGAGUUGGACUAUAAAGAAAGCUGAGCACCGAAGAGUUGAUACUUUUGAACUGUAGUGUUGGAGAAGACUCUUGAGAGUCCCUUGGACUGCAAGGAGAUCCAACCAGUCCAUCCUAGAGGAGAUCAGUCCUGGGUGUUCAUUGGAAGGACUGAUGUUGAAGCUGAAAUUCCAAUACUUUGGCCACCUGAUGUGAAGAGUUGACUCAUUCGAAAAGACCCUGAUGCUGGGAAAGACUGAAGGCAGGAGGAGAAGGGGACGACAGAGGAUGAGAUGGUUGGAUGGCAUCACUGACUCAACGGACGUGGGUUUGGGUGAACUCUGGGAGUUGGUGAUGGACAGGGAGGCCUGGCGUGCUGCGGUUCAUGGGGUCGCAAAGAGUCAGACAUGACUGAGCGACUGAACUGAACUGAUGUUUCACGGAUACCCAGUUCAUUCCUUAAUAGCACAAUGUAUUUAUCCAUUGGCCUGUUGAUGGAUAUUUUUGUUGUUUCCAGUUG